rnacentral:lncRNA from 1 species
UUCGAUUGCUCUAAUCCCCGCGGCAGCGCCACUCUCUUGUCUUUUCUGCCAUCUUCCUUAUCCGUCGCCGGACGUUUAUCUCCCGUCGGCCGAUUCUCUGUCCCCGAGCUUUUCUUCAUAUUCCGUCUGCAGCCACGUUUCUGAGCGACGAGACGGCACAACUCCCUCUUGCCUCUUUUUCAUCCGCAGCUGCUCUGUCUCUGUUCUUCCUUCUUGAGUCUGUGUUCGCUGAUCCCGCACGGUAUUCUUCUAUGCCCCUCUUCUUCCCUCGUUACUGCAGUGAAAAUUUCAUUUGAGAUGGAUUUGGAUUGGACUUGGAAGUCUUACUAGCUGCGAUCUAGUUACUUUAUAGCAUAUCACAAAUUGCAAGGCUUAUCGAUAGCGAACCAUGAAGUAGGAAGUCUUACCGUCUACGGUUUGAGUGUAAUUAGUUAUCUUUGUGCCUACAUUUUCACUAGGAAAUUGAUCCCCUUGGGACGUUGGUGGCGAACUGAAGACUGAUAUUUUGAUCUAUGCUUUUGCUGACCUCUUACAAACAGAUCUUUUCCACUCUACUGUCUUUGGGUUUUCUCGUUUUGGAGUCUAUUUCUGCUUUGUAUGGCGGGGAACACACAAGAGUCUUAGCCAUUGUACAUUAGUUAGUCUUGCUAUUACACCCUCUUUCGAUGAAUAUGCCACAUUUUGUUCUUAUUUACUUCCAAUAAGUCUGCUUUCUUUUGUAAUUUCCAGUAAUACUUGUAUUUCGCAUAAUGCCAUCAGUUAACCUAAUUUUAUUAAAGGACAUGCUUAAUGUGCAUCAAACUGGACAAUUAGAUAAUUCUUACGUCAUUGCCUUGUUUCUACAGUGAUCAUGAUGUCCUCUGUAAUUAUUGAAAUUGAAAGAUUUAAUUUUUGUGUUAUAGGUUUUGCCUCUA